CUUCACCUGAAGGAUUCUAGACACUAUAUUGAUCCUUUUAGCAGAUAUGUCCAUGUCCAUUAAGAAGCAACUCUUUUCUCUAUUUAUUUGUUGUCCAGAGCUCUACUCGUAUUUCUUUAGGCAAUCUGUGAUCAACUCUAGCGUUUUGGUUUUACCUGAACAAAAGAUAAUUAAGCCAUCAGCAUGAUUAAUUUUUGGUCCAAUGGUAUUCAUAGUGGAACCAUUGAAAAAAGGAUUUUCAAAGAGUUUAUUAAGCAUUAAAGAAAGGACUUCUGCAGCUAUAAAAAGAGAAGGUGAUAUAGGAUCUCCCUGUUUGACUCCUCUUUGGGAUUGAAAGAAACCAUGUCUUUUGCCAUUG
rnacentral:lncRNA from 1 species